rnacentral:rRNA from 1 species
AUUGAACGCUGGCGGCAUGCCUUACACAUGCAAGUCGAACGGCAGCACGGGAGCUUGCUCCUGGUGGCGAGUGGCGAACGGGUGAGUAAUACAUCGGAACGUACCCUGAAGUGGGGGAUAACGUAGCGAAAGUUACGCUAAUACCGCAUAUUCUGUGAGCAGGAAAGAGGGGGAUCGCAAGACCUCUUGCUUUAGGAGCGGCCGAUGUCGGAUUAGCUAGUUGGUGAGGUAAAGGCUCACCAAGGCGACGAUCCGUAGCGGGUCUGAGAGGAUGAUCCGCCACACUGGGACUGAGACACGGCCCAGACUCCUACGGGAGGCAGCAGUGGGAAUUUUGGACAAUGGGCGCAAGCCUGAUCCAGCCAUGCCGCGUGAGUGAAGAAGGCCUCGGUUGUAAG